AGUGAACGCUGGCGGUAGGCCUAACACAUGCAAGUCGAACGGCAGCACAGUAAGAGCUUGCUCUUACGGGUGGCGGGUGGCGGACGGGUGAGGAAUACAUCGGAAUCUACUUUUUCGUGGGGGAUAACGUAGGGAAACUUACGCUAAUACAGCAUACGACCUACGGGUGAAAGCAGGGGAUCUUCGGGCCUUGCGCGAUUGAAUGAGCCGAUGUCGGAUUAGCUAGUUGGGGGGGUAAAGGCCCACCAAGGCGACGAUCCGUAGCCGGCCUGAGAGGAUGAUCAGCCACACUGGAACUGAGACACGGUCCAGACUCCUACGGGAGGCAGCAGUGGGGAAUCUUGGACAAUGGGCGCAAGCCUGAUCCAGCCAUACCGCGUGGGUGAAGAAGGCCUUCGGGUUGUAAAGCCCUUUUGUUGGGAAAGAACAACAGCAGAUUAAUCCCCCGCUGUUCUGACGGUACCCAAAGAAUAAGCCCCGGCUAACUUCGUG
rnacentral:rRNA from 1 species